CCGAAGGAUCCCUCUUAGAAAACUGCACAAGGCCGUUUAAUCGUGUGUUUUAAAAGACUUAAUACCAACAUGUUGCCCAAGUGUGGAACACUCUGCCUGAUUCCUCUCUGAUGCAUGAACAAAGCCUUUGCUGGAGGGCGGAGAUGUAUUUUUGUCUUUACCAAAACAAGCCAGGAAGUUUUUUUUUUUUGUUUGCUCCGGCUUGCUUUGGUGGUGGGAAGUUUUGCUGAAUCACUCUUGCAACGUUCAAUGAGGAAAAGAGUAAAAAUGUCAACCUGAGCUCGUCUUUCAGCUGCAGAACGUGGCUGUUAGAAUGUUGUCGGUCGAGUUACCAGCCUGUCAGCGACCAUAUUGUAGCAUAUGCUCAUUCGCCCUUUUUUUGAGGAAAGGUUUGGCCUCCCACAGUAACUCCUAACGUGUGUGUGUGAGUGAACACUUGCCAGUGAAUCAGCCCCUGUGCUGUCAGCCCAUGUGGCGUAUUGAUGUUGUGAGCAUGUGCCAAACUCGGUGAACACAAUUACAUGAUUAUUUGGGAAAGCGUUGAAAUGAAAUUCCUCAAAAAAAGGACACUGUUCUUGGCUUGAAAAGUCAAAGGGAAGCGCCGUAUAAAAAUGUCUAACUGCAUACAUGUUGUUAUGCAGCAGCGAGAUAUUAGCUGAACUGUAUUUCUGCACUAUUUCAGAUUACUUCAAAGCAUUUAACAAAGUAUUAACUUUUCAUCAUUCACAUUUAAGUACUAAAAAGGCUAAUUCACACUUUGUCUUUAUUUAGGAUUUUCUCCUGUCUGAACUGCUCUGCUCUAAAGUGUGCAUUUUAUUCUUCUAUUCUUUGUUUACAUGAUAUUGUAUGUAUCCUCUGUUAUCUGAAUGCAUGGUACAGGUGAAGGCUAGUUUAGUAAUGUAUGUGAAACACUGCUGGUAUGAUGGUGCCAAGUCUUGCUGGUGAGAGUGAUGGUGGAGAUGAUUUGUUUUUUACAGAAAUUUUAAUUAUUUCUAAAUAUUCUGAUGAUAUUUCAGCACAUGCGCAGAGAAUAAAUACUUCUCGGUUGCAAUGC